rnacentral:rRNA from 1 species
AUUGAACGCUGGCGGCAGGCUUAACACAUGCAAGUCGAGCGGGGGAAGGUAGCUUGCUACCGGACCUAGCGGCGGACGGGUGAGUAAUGCUUAGGAAUCUGCCUAUUAGUGGGGGACAACAUCUCGAAAGGGAUGCUAAUACCGCAUACGUCCUACGGGAGAAAGCAGGGGAUCUUCGGACCUUGCGCUAAUAGAUGAGCCUAAGUCGGAUUAGCUAGUUGGUGGGGUAAAGGCCUACCAAGGCGACGAUCUGUAGCGGGUCUGAGAGGAUGAACCGCCACACUGGGACGGAGACACGGCCCAGACUCCUACGGGAGGCAGCAGUGGGGAAUAUUUGACAAUGGGGGGAACCCUGAUCCAGCCAUGCCGCGUGUGUGAAGAAGGCCUUAUGGUUGUAAAGCACUUUAAGCGAGGAGGAGGCUCUUUUGGUUAAUACCCAAGAUGAGUGGACGUUACUCGCAGAAUAAGCACCGGCUAACUCUGUGCCAGCCGCCGCCGUAA